AUUGGAGAUGAUUUUAUUAAAAUACCUGUUUUAUAAUUUUACUGAAAUCUUACUGUAUAUGGUAAUUGACUUGAGAAAUUGGCCUUCUUAAACAUUCAAGGGUCUUCCAAAUAAAACCAACUGAUUGAGCACUUAAACAUGUUCUAUGGUGAUCCUCAAACAACAAUGGUAAGUCAAAAUCCAUCACAGUUUAGCACCGAGAAAGGAGAUCAGAGGACAAAAAUCACAGCACAUUCCUAGAGGACAGACAGAAGGGCAGUGCAGCCUGCCUUGUGUCAGAAAUGGACUCCAAGGUCCCAAGAAAUGGACAGAGGAUGGCUAAGAGCUGAGGGGCUUAAAACAGGGGUGCUUGUUGCCCUGCUAAUUAAGGUUGAAGUCUACCAUUGUCCAGAUAGCCUUCUAAGCUUGGUGCAAAAAUAGCAGACUCCCUUUGUCAGUGAGGCUUUCUAUUCUCAACCUCGGGGACCCCAGACCCCACACCCUAUACCUUCAGAAUGUCACCAAACCUUUGUUAAGAGAUUACAGGUUCAGUUUCUUUUCUCCUGAUAAGAACCCAUUCAGCUAGCACCUGAGAUUCUGGGAACGCCUUCCCAUGAUAAUGAGGUAUCUCAGGACCUUAGCUUUCAGCCAAUGACCUUUGCCCACCCUGGAUGUCCCCACCCCCAUCCUCAAAACUACAUAACCCUCCUCAAAGCUGGUCCUGGGAUGUCAUUAUUGUCCAUACUCAAGGGCCAUGUGGAACCCUGUUUGUGAACUAUGCUCCCUCUGUCCCCAAGGGCUGGCAGCCAGUGACUCUGAGGAGAACGGAGACCUACAGAGCUGAAAUUCUCCAUGGGAGGCAAAUAACUUCUGGGCCCUUUCCAGCCCUCCACAAGAAGAAAGGCCCAAAGCCAGGCAUUCCUGCCCAGGAGCCAGCGUAGAACCCUUUCCUUUACCAUAACCCGUUUUGAGAAAGUGCUAUGGCUCAGAGUUUUGUUUUACCCUGUGUGGGAAAUCUCUCUGUCUAGACUCUGAGUUGUUGAUGGAGCACCUCAUUAUCUCCAACUCCUACUCUUUCCUGUCAUGAGGAGAGACUCUGAGGCAGUUUUCCUGAAAAUUUGUCACUGUGUCUAGGUAGUGUCUGGAGGACACCACGGUGAUAUAGUCUACCAUUUCCGUCAGAGAAAGAAGAUAAAUUCCCGAAUUUAAGUGCCAAUUUUGCCGUUUUCUUUUUCUUUUUCUUUUUUUUUAGAAUAGGGAGAGGAGGCUGUCAGACACCUGGGCUUGUCUCUUCUUACCUUGCAUUUGAGACUGUCAUUUUUUUAAGAAAAUUGCAUAUAUUCAAACCAUGUGAGAAUUUCCGUAUAAGGGGGAAAGGGGAAGAUCAGCUCAGAGCCCUUUGGAGACAUCUACCAGCUGGCCAACUGGUCCCCGCACACAAUGGUGUCCAUAGUCCACUCCCUAAAAGUCCUAUGGGCCCGUGCCACAAGCCCAGAACACAAAGCAGGAGCCCAGGUGGAUGAGGACGGAAGGGCGCUAGAGCACAUCCUGGAGCAUGCUGGAUGGAGCCCUGAGGAGGGACAGAUGGCAGACAUAGACAUGCUCUCCCUGGGGAGAAAGCAGGAAGCCGCAAAGCAGCUGUGGCAAGGCUUCGGAGGUUUCACAGCAGCUCUGAU
rnacentral:lncRNA from 1 species